GUAGGUGGCAAGCGUUGUCCGGAAUUAUUGGGCGUAAAGCGCGCGCAGGCGGUUCUUUAAGUCUGAUGUGAAAGCCCACCGGCUCAACCGUGGAGGGUCAUUGGAAACUGGAGAACUUGAGUACAGAAGAGGAAAGCGGAAUUCCACGUGUAGCGGUGAAAUGCGUAGAGAUGUGGAGGAACACCAGUGGCGAAGGCGGCUUUCUGGUCUGUAACUGACGCUGAGGCGCGAAAGCGUGGGGAGCAAACAGGGAUUAGAUACCCUGGUAGUCCACGCCGUAAACGAUGAGUGCUAAGUGUUAGGGGGGUUUCCGCCCCCUUAGUGCUGCAGCUAACGCAUUAAGCACUCCGCCUGGGAGUACGGCCGCAAGGCUG
rnacentral:rRNA from 1 species